AAACAAACGGAGCCUUAGUUCUUCUAUUGUUAGGGUGUGCGCUACUGUGUUUGCUUGUCUCUCUGUAUGAUUGAACCGACAUGUAACAAAGUUUCCUUUUAAUCUUUUUACGUCUGUGAUAUAAGCUCUUAUUUCAGAUCUGUCUAAUUGGUUUUGUAAAUUUUUAAUAAUAGCUAGUGCAUCACCUUCUACUUCAACUCGUAGGAAACCUAAGUCUGCUUGGAAUCUGAUCGCCUGGACACAGGCGAGGGCCUCUGCUGCAAAUGUUGUCAGUAUGUGGUCAUUUUUAUAUGUUAUCAAUUUUAAAACAAUACUCGCCUUCUCUCAAAUCACUAUUCCAGUACAUGACCUAUUAUUCUGCUUUUCAAAUGCAACACCGAAAUUAAUCUUAACAUUUGUAUCUCCCGAGGGUCUCCAAUAUUCCUUACAUGUUGUACUGACAGGGUCCACCUGAUACCCAGUUUGGACCAUACUGCAAUGGCAAAAGGGCAGUAUUUAAAAGCAUGAUCUGUGGUCUUACGGCUAUUAAUGCAUCUCGGGCAGUUGGUUGUAUUUCCAAGUCUUCGCUGGUAUAGAUUAUAGAAAGUAGGUAUGUAGUUGGUUAGAGUUUUCCAUACCAAGAUUUUUGUCUUUGAGGGCAAAUCUACUGCCUAUAGCUUUCUAUACAUGGGUUUGUAAUAGUUAGAGUUUGCCUGUAAAUUUAUUGGGUUGUCGAUUUGUAAUAAUUUUUUGUAACAGCUCUGCACUGAAUAUGAGCCUGAUGCUUCACCACACCAAAUCACUUUGUCCGCUUCUUGCUCUAUAGGGAAGGGAAUGCAUAAGAUUCUUUCGGCAUCUUUGGGAUGAAAA